rnacentral:piRNA from 1 species
UGGCACAAAAGCCACCUCAGUGGUC